UACGGAGGGGGUUAGCGUUGUUCGGAAUUACUGGGCGUAAAGCGCGCGUAGGCGGACCAGAAAGUUGGGGGUGAAAUCCCGGGGCUCAACCCCGGAACGGCCUCCAAAACUCCUGGUCUUGAGUUCGAGAGAGGUGAGUGGAAUUCCGAGUGUAGAGGUGAAAUUCGUAGAUAUUCGGAGGAACACGAGUGGCGAAGGCGGCUCACUGGCUCGAUACUGACGCUGAGGUGCGAAAGUGUGGGGAGCAAACAGG
rnacentral:rRNA from 1 species